CAGCAGCCGCGGUAAUACGAAGGGGGCUAGCGUUGCUCGGAAUGACUGGGCGUAAAGGGCGCGUAGGCGGCGGCCAAAGUCAGGCGUGAAAUUCCCGGGCUCAACCUGGGGGCUGCGCUUGAUACUUGGUUGCUUGAGUGGGGAAGAGGGUCGUGGAAUUCCCAGUGUAGAGGUGAAAUUCGUAGAUAUUGGGAAGAACACCAGUGGCGAAGGCGGCUCACUGGACCGACACUGACGCUGAGGCGCGAAAGCGUGGGGAGCAAACAGGAUUAGAUACCCCAGUAGUCCCUGUCUCUUAUAA
rnacentral:rRNA from 1 species